ACUCCGGUGGUUAUAGAUGGACAUGCGUUGUAUUAGCUAGUUGGUGAGGUAACGGCUCACCAAGGCAACGAUACAUAGGGGGACUGAGAGGUUAACCCCCCACACUGGUACUGAGACACGGACCAGACUCCUACGGGAGGCAGCAGUGAGGAAUAUUGGUCAAUGGACGCAAGUCUGAACCAGCCAUGCCGCGUGCAGGAAGACGGCUCUAUGAGUUGUAAACUGCUUUUGUACGAGGGUAAACUCACCUACGUGUAGGUGACUGAAAGUAUCGUACGAAUAAGGAUCGGCUAACUCCGUGCCAGCAGCCGCGGUAAUACGGAGGAUUCAAGCGUUAUCCGGAUUUAUUGGGUUUAAAGGGUGCGUAGGCGGUUUGAUAAGUUAGAGGUGGAAUCCCGGGGCUUAACUCCGGAACUGCCUCUAAUACUGUUAGACUAGAGAGUAGUUGCGGUAGGCGGAAUGUAUGGUGUAGCGGUGAAAUGCUUAGAGAUCAUACAGAACACCGAUUGCGAAGGCAGCUUACCAAACUAUAUCUGAC
rnacentral:rRNA from 1 species